AAUCAACGCUGGCGGCGUGCCUCAGACAUGCAAGUCGAACGCGAAAGGUUCCUUCGGGGACCGAGUAGAGUGGCGCACGGGUGAGUAACACGUAGGUAAUUUGCCUUUGGGUGGGGAAUAACUCAGGGAAACUUGAGCUAAUACCGCAUAAUGCAGCGGCUCGACAUCGAGACAGUUGUUAAAGCGGGGGAUUCGCAAGAACCUCGCGCCUAAAGAGAAGCCUGCGGCAGAUAGCUAGUUGGUAAGGUAAUGGCUUACCAAGGCGACGAUCUGUAACCGGCCUGAGAGGGCGGUCGGUCACACUGACACUGACAUACGGGUCAGACUCCUACGGGAGGCAGCAGUCGGGAAUUUUGGGCAAUGGGCGAAAGCCUGACCCAGCAACGCCGCGUGAAGGAUGAAAUUUUCGGAAUGUAAACUUCGCAAGAACAGGAAGAAUAAGU
rnacentral:rRNA from 1 species